AUGGUAGUGGUGAGAAGGAUCGAUCUAGCCCAGGGAGCCCUCCUUGGCCGACAUCCGCUUCAGGAGCUCGUAGGUGGUGACCAUGGUGGCGGCCGAGAGCGACAUGGAGCCCCACCUCGGCCCCAGCCCGCGGUAGCACGCGGCCCACCCGCCCUCCUUGAGCAGGCCCCGCACGGUGCUCCCCAGCGUUGGCCGCGCCACCGCCGCGUCCGUCUCCAUCACCUGGAGCCGCGUCUUCACCGUGUCCAGCGGCAUGGUCACCAGGGCCGCCGCGCCCCCGGCCACGGCCGCGCUGGCGCCCUGCACGGCCAUCAGGGCCGGGUAGCUCUCGGAGCGGUCGGCGCCCACGACGCGCCACGCGAAGCGCUGCGCCAUGGCGUAGGACGCCCACCACACCGCGUUGGACGGCGCGUAGGUGAUGAUGGAGAGGCCGAAGCCGCGGUAGAGGCCGCGCACGCCGUCGGCCGCGAGGAUCUUCCUGAAGGCGUCCGCGCCGCCGGCGUAGCGGCAGGCGGCGGAGGUCUGGACCAUCAGCCGCUGGCUGAUGACAUCCACGGGGGUCCAAACGACCUGCGCGGCGACGGCGGCGGAGACCCCCGCCGCGGCCGAGGCGACCGCCGACGCCGCGGGCUCGGAGACGCCGAACCGCAGCGCGGCGGACCCGACGGAGCUCUUGGUGGCCUCGAGCGCGGCCAUGUAGAGCGCGCGCGCGGGGACGGUGCCGGCCAGCGAGGCGCCGAAGCCGCGGUAGAAGCCCCGGAGGCCGUCGCGGCCGAGGAUGGCCCUGACGGUGGCGGCGGCGGCCUGCGGGGGCGGGGCCACCUGCAGGUGCGUCUUGACGACGACGGCCGGGUAGAGCGCGGCGGAGACGCCCGAGAAGAGGGCCGCGCCGAGGACGAAGAAGCGGGACUUGUCGAGCAUCUCCCAGUUGACCUCCGCCGGCAGCCGCCGGAUCUCCUCCACCGCCGCCGCCGCGCCGCGCUCCUUCUCCAUGCCCGCAACGCUGAAGCUCAUCCUCUCUGCUGCUGCUGCUGCUGCUCCCCGCCAACCAGAGAAAACCCAAUCAUCCAAUCAAAUCAAUCCACGGUGACAAGAUCCAUAUGA
rnacentral:rRNA from 1 species